ensembl:snoRNA small nucleolar RNA SNORA35
UUGCACUGUCAAGUGACUGGGCUGUCGUUUCCCUGACUGUCCAAUCUCAUUCCAGUGCCAGAGCGACCUUAGUCAGCAGAAGGGCUGGGCCACAUAAUGGCUCCUCCCUUUCGAAGGCUAAGAACAAAC